rnacentral:rRNA from 1 species
AGAGUUUGAUCCUGGCUCAGGAUGAACGCUAGCGGCAGGCUUAACACAUGCAAGUCGAGGGGUAUAGUUCUUCGGAAUUAGAGACCGGCGCACGGGUGCGUAACGCGUAUGCAAUCUACCUUUCACAGAGGGAUAGCCCAGAGAAAUUUGGAUUAAUACCUCAUAGUAUAUAUGAAUGGCAUCAUUUAUAUAUUAAAGUCACAACGGUGAAAGAUGAGCAUGCGUCCCAUUAGCUAGUUGGUAAGGUAACGGCUUACCAAGGCAACGAUGGGUAGGGGUCCUGAGAGGGAGAUCCCCCACACUGGUACUGAGACACGGACCAGACUCCUACGGGAGGCAGCAGUGAGGAAUAUUGGACAAUGGGCGCAAGCCUGAUCCAGCCAUGCCGCGUGCAGGAUGACGGUCCUAUGGAUUGUAAACUGCUUUUAUACGAGAAGAAACACUCCGACGUGUCGGAGCUUGACGGUAUCGUAAGAAUAAGGAUCGGCUAACUCCGUGCCAGCAGCCGCGGUAAUACGGAGGAUCCAAGCGUUAUCCGGAAUCAUUGGGUUUAAAGGGUCCGUAGGCGGUCAGGUAAGUCAGUGGUGAAAGCCCAUCGCUCAACGGUGGAACGGCCAUUGAUACUGUCUGACUUGAAUUAUUAGGAAGUAACUAGAAUAUGUAGUGUAGCGGUGAAAUGCUUAGAGAUUACAUGGAAUACCAAUUGCGAAGGCAGGUUACUACUAAUGGAUUGACGCUGAUGGACGAAAGCGUGGGUAGCGAACAGGAUUAGAUACCCUGGUAGUCCACGCCGUAAACGAUGGAUACUAGCUGUUGGGAGCAAUCUCAGUGGCUAAGCGAAAGUGAUAAGUAUCCCACCUGGGGAGUACGUUCGCAAGAAUGAAACUCAAGGAAUUGACGGGGGCCCGCACAAGCGGUGGAGCAUGUGGU